rnacentral:rRNA from 1 species
AUUGAACGCUGGCGGAAUGCCUAACACAUGCAAGUCGAGCGGAGUAGCAAUACUCAGCGGCGGACGGGUGAGGAAUACAUAGGAAUCUGCCUUUAGGUGGGGGAUAGCCAGGGGAAACUCUGGGUAAUACCGCAUGAUCUCGUGAGAGCAAAGGGGCGCAAGUCUCGCCUUUAGAGGAGCCUAUGUCUGAUUAGCUAGUUGGCGGUGUAAUGGACCACCAAGGCAAUGAUCAGUAACUGGUCUGAGAGGACGAUCAGUCACACCGGAACUGAGACACGGUCCGGACUCCUACGGGAGGCAGCAGUGGGGAAUAUUGGACAAUGGGCGAAAGCCUGAUCCAGCAAUUCCGCGUGUGUGAAGAAGGCCUUCGGGUUGUAAAGCACUUUAGUUGGGGAAGAAACAGCUUGGCCACACCAAGCCUUGACGGUACCCAAAGAAUAAGCACCGGCUAACUCUGUGCCAGCCGCCGCAGUAACAC